UGGGUAAUCUGCCCUCGAUUCUGGGAUAGCCCGGGGAAACCCGGAUUAAUACCGGAUAGCCUCUCGAGCUUACGAGCUCGUGAGAAAAGGUAGCUUCGGCCUCCGAUCGAGGAUGAGCCCGCGGCGGAUUAGCUCGUUGGUGGGGUAAUGGCCCACCAAGGCGACGAUCCGUAGCUGGUCUGAGAGGACGAUCAGCCACACUGGGACUGAGACACGGCCCAGACCUCCGUACGGGAGCAG
rnacentral:rRNA from 1 species